rnacentral:rRNA from 1 species
UACGGGGGGAGCAAGCGUUGUUCGGAUUUACUGGGCGUAAAGGGCGCGUAGGCGGUCAGCACAAGUCAGUUGUGAAAUCUCCGGGCUUAACUCGGAAAGGUCAACUGAUACUGUGCGACUAGAGUGCAGAAGGGGCAACUGGAAUUCUCGGUGUAGCGGUGAAAUGCGUAGAUAUCGUAAGGAAGACCAGUGGCGAAAGGCGGGUCUCUGGACAGUUCCUGACGUGAGGCACGAAGGUCAGGGGAGCAAACGGG